UCUACGGGAGGCAGCAGUGGGGAAUUUUGGACAAUGGGCGAAAGCCUGAUCCAGCAAUGCCGCGUGUGGGAAGAAGGCCUUCGGGUUGUAAACCACUUUUGUACGGAACGAAACGGUUCGCUUUAAUACAGUGGGCUAAUGACGGUACCGUAAGAAUAAGCACCGGCUAACUACGUGCCAGCAGCCGCGGUAAUACGUAGGGUGCGAGCGUUAAUCGGAAUUACUGGGCGUAAAGCGUGCGCAGGCGGUUAUAUAAGACAGUUGUGAAAUCCCCGGGCUCAACCUGGGAAUUGCAUCUGUGACUGUAUAGCUAGAGUACGGUAGAGGGGGAUGGAAUUCCGCGUGUAGCAGUGAAAUGCGUAGAUAUGCGGAGGAACACCGAUGGCGAAGGCAAUCCCCUGGACCUGUACUGACGCUCAUGCACGAAAGCGUGGGGAGCAAACAGGAUUAGAUACCCUGGUAGUCCACGCCCUAAACGAUGUCAACUGGUUGUUGGGUGCAUUAGUACUCAGUAACGAAGCUAACGCGUAAGUGACCGC
rnacentral:rRNA from 1 species